UGCCCCGAUGACCUAUGAAGCUGUGAUAAAAAUGCCGAUAAAGUUGAAUAACCAAUAUUCACAGAACGACCACGGGGGUCCAUUGGUAACGUGGGUAGGCUCAGAACUUACAGUCAUCGGAGUUGCCACAGGGACUGUAUAUAAGAGCAACUAUGUCUGUAGCGGACCCUUCCUCUUCACAAGUACCUAUUGUACAGGAAGUAUCCUGCAGUGCAUGCUCAACUCUGAUCCAGAUAAUCGAAGAAGAUGCUCUGACCAAGUCAAACAAGAUGGGUUUGAUAUCCAAGAAACUUCUGUGAAUUGGCACGACAAGGAGUGAUCUAAGAAUCGCUCUCCGACUAAUUCGUGUGAUUACAAAGGAUACCAACUCCCAAUAUUUUUGGAAAAUGUUUUUUUAUUAUUUUUUUGGAGAAACAAGGUUUUUUGAUCCAAUUACAUAUCGACGCUUGAAAGGCAAACGUAACUAAGCGACAAUAACUGCUUUGUACAUAAAUGAUAGGCAAUAACGUUACGCGAUGCGCAAAAAAAAUAAUUCUAGGUCUAUUAAAAUCAUUUCAAUCCUAAAUAGAAUUAUUUCCAGGUAUUUCAACUUUAAAUUAGUCUACUGUAAAGUUCACGCAUUGUCGCUUAGCCACGUUGGCCUUUCAAGCGUAGAUAUAUAAUUAUCUAUUACAUAUAAAUAAAAUUGGAGUGUCUGUUUGUAAUAUUGAAAUAACCGCUUUUCACUACAUGCAUAUGAAUAUAAUAUAUACGGUAGAUAUAUACACCAUAAUAACAUUUUUUUUUAUUUUUGUCUGUCUGUCUGUCUGUUUGUUCCGGCUAAUCUCUGAAACGGCUGGAGCGAUUUUGACGGGACAUUAACUUGUGUUUUUGAUGCAAAUAUUAAUCUAAGAAUGUAACAGUUCUCUUGUCCUGUGAAAUUUACAAGAAAUUAUCGAUUCAUAUUUAAAAUGUUAUUGUGAAAAACUAACACUAUAUUUAGAGUGUGUGCUUAAUUAAAACUGUAACACACACCUAAAGUGUGAAUUGGUGCACUAUUGGAAAUAAAACUUUUUUCAAUACUUUAUUACAAUAAAA